rnacentral:rRNA from 1 species
AGUGAACGCUGGCGGUAGGCCUAACACAUGCAAGUCGAACGGCAGCACAGUAAGAGCUUGCUCGUACGGGUGGCGAGUGGCGGACGGGUGAGGAAUACAUCGGAAUCUACUUUUUCGUGGGGGAUAACGUAGGGAAACUUACGCUAAUACCGCAUACGACCUACGGGUGAAAGCAGGGGAUCUUCGGACCUUGCGCGAGUGAAUGAGCCGAUGUCGGAUUAGCUAGUUGGCGGGGGAAAGGCCCACCAAGGCGACGAUCCGUAGCUGGUCUGAGAGGAUGAUCAGCCACACUGGAACUGAGACACGGUCCAGACUCCUACGGGAGGCAGCAGUGGGGAAUAUUGGGCAAUGGGCGCAAGCCUGAUCCAGCCAUACCGCGUGGGUGAAGAAGGCCUUCGGGUUGUAAAGCCCUUUUGUUGGGAAAGAAAAGCAGCAGGUUAAUACCCCGCUGUUCUGACGGUACCCAAAGAAUAAGCACCGGCUAACUUCGUG